GACAGAGGGUGCAAACGUUGUUCGGAAUUACUGGGCGUAAAGCGAACGUAGGCGGUGUUCCAUGUCAGAGGUGAAAGCCUGGGGCUCAACUCCAGAAUUGCCUUUGAAACGGGAACGCUUGAGUCCGAGAGAGGAUGGCGGAAUUCCUAGUGUAGAGGUGAAAUUCGUAGAUAUUAGGAAGAACACCGGUGGCGAAAGCGGCUCACUGGACCACAACUGACGCUGAGGCGCGAAAGCUAGGGGAGCAAACAGG
rnacentral:rRNA from 1 species